rnacentral:rRNA from 1 species
GAGGAACGCUGGCGGCGUGCCUAAUACAUGCAAGUCGAGCGAACAGACGAGGAGCUUGCUCCUCUGACGUUAGCGGCGGACGGGUGAGUAACACGUGGAUAACCUACCUAUAAGACUGGGAUAACUUCGGGAAACCGGAGCUAAUACCGGAUAAUAUAUUGAACCGCAUGGUUCAAUAGUGAAAGACGGUUUUGCUGUCACUUAUAGAUGGAUCCGCGCCGCAUUAGCUAGUUGGUAAGGUAACGGCUUACCAAGGCAACGAUGCGUAGCCGACCUGAGAGGGUGAUCGGCCACACUGGAACUGGGACACGGUCCAGACUCCUACGGGAGGCAGCAGUAGGGAAUCUUCCGCAAUGGGCGAAAGCCUGACGGAGCAACGCCGCGUGAGUGAUGAAGGUCUUCGGAUCGUAAAACUCUGUUAUUAGGGAAGAACAAAUGUGUAAGUAACUAUGCACGUCUUGACGGUACCUAAUCAGAAAGCCACGGCUAACUACGUG